GUGAGAGCUGACAGUCUAUCCUUGAAUUAACCGGAGCAAUAUAGGAGGCAACCAGGAUUUGCAAUUCCAGUAGUUUUUGUGUGUGGAUGCCCGAUACGCCUGAGUGUAAGGGAAAUGUUUCAACGUCCAGGCUCUGCAAUGAACACCAUUGUUGUGAUGACUCAUCUGUUUGCCAAUCAUACUCGCUGGAACACAGCUGACCAUCCAGCAACCAAACUGAAUUUGGUGUAUCAUCCACCAUCCUUAUGCAUGCAAUAGACAACGUUUUUUCCUCCCUGGGAGCUCACACCUGACUUCUCAACUUGAGUCCACCUGUAACACAUUCUGCUGAUGUUGUGUGGGAUCAGCAGUGUAAAUCAGGAUUUAUCACGUCUGACGUUGCUGGCAGCCCGCUAACAGUCGGGUCGCCGACUUUUCCCAGCCGCUGAUUUAGGUGAUGCUAAGAUGAAAGCUGAAGGCCACGCAGGCUGCAACAUGUACGCUCGCCUGGAGGGGCUACUGACUGCCACACUGUGGCGCUGUGCUAAAACAUGGCAGACGA